UACGAAGGGGGCUAGCGUUGCUCGGAAUCACUGGGCGUAAAGGGUGCGUAGGCGGGUCUUUAAGUCAGGGGUGAAAUCCUGGAGCUCAACUCCAGAACUGCCUUUGAUACUGAGGAUCUUGAGUUCGGGAGAGGUGAGUGGAACUGCGAGUGUAGAGGUGAAAUUCGUAGAUAUUCGCAAGAACACCAGUGGCGAAGGCGGCUCACUGGCCCGGUACUGACGCUGAGGCGCGAAAGCGUGGGGAGCAACAGG
rnacentral:rRNA from 1 species